CUGUUAUCUGUUUCAUUAUAAAAGUCACUUUUAAUACAAUCAUGUGACACUGAAAAGGACUAGUUUGUGUCCAGGGUUGAAAUCUUCAACUAUAAGCUAUAAAGCAGACUUUGGCAUUGAUGUCUUGGAGAGUACCAUGGAAAAAAAAACCCUAAUAUUGCUCUUCCGCAUAAGUAUUUAUCAUGCGGUUUUUCUCUCUUUUUUUUUUCUUUUUUUUUUUUUUUAAUGUUAUAUGGCACUGUAAUGCAGAUUAUAAUGUCCUCCUUACAAGGCAGCUUUAACACAUAAGAAAUUACUAUGCUAUAGCACUAAAUUAAGGAAUAUUAAGUAAAAAAAAUGGGUAAGCUUAAGUAGAGACGUUCUGUGUUUGAGUAAACCUGAUGAUGAUAUAAAUCAUAACCAGGGAAAAUGUAUUGCAUCCUUUUUCCUUGUAGGAAAGAAACUUGUUUCUUCUGUUUAAGUAACUUGGUAACAGCUGGCUUCAUGUUGCAGUGCAGAGUACAGUAAGUAGAUCCCGACUUCAAAGAUUUUUGUUAUCAGACAGUCUAAACAAUAUGUAAGAAGGUUAGAAUAUUUUUUCUUUUUUCCUUUUUUCUUUUUUUUUUUUUUUUUUUUUUUAAAUUCUGUGUCUUAUUUUAAGUUCAACCUUCUUCCUUUUGAGAGAGGAAAAAACAUGAUUUCAUAGAAUACUGAGUAGCAGAUGUUUGAUAGGUUGGGGUUUUUCUUCCCCCUUUUCUCCUUUUUCCUUCUAUAAAUUGCCUUUUUUCAUUUUUUAUCAUUACAGCUAGUUGUACAUAAUGACUUGAGUUUUCUUGCUUUUUGAUUUUAGUUUUAUUUUUUUGGCAGAAUCUUUGAGGUGAGAAAUAAUUCAAAUAUAUUUUCAAAUAUAUUUGAAAAGUGAGAUGCUUAAAAAUGUGUUUAGAAAGAGUUUUUUUUAACAUGGUGUGGAGAUCCUGAGUUGUUUUAAAAAGAUGAGAAACUUGUCGAUUCCUUUGUACUUUAGCACAACUCAGUGCUAAUAGUCAAAAUAUAGGACUGUUAAGGCAGUAAUAUAUCUUCUUGAUUUUUCUCUUAAGAUUACAGUUGCAGAUCAAUUACAUAUUUAGUUUUGGCUCGGGCUGGAAACCUGCAGCUUUUGACUUAAUAAAAACACUGAAGUGGUCAAUGGAACGUUGCUGUUCCUUCUAUGGUGUGUAAUAAAUUCUGAAUUCUGCUGCACUGCUAAGAACUGUUUCAACUGUGAGCCUUCAUUUCUGGUUUAUUAUUUUUGUUUGUGUUUAUAAUAAGUAGUAGCCAAAUAACUUGCUGAGAAAUCUGAGAUGUGGACCUGAAUAUGAUAAAUACUGUGUAAGAAAUGGAUCACAAUGGGAUCUGUUAAAACUGAAAACAACUGCUAGAGUUAGAAGGAAAGCAUGUCUCAGUCACUUCUGAACUGCAAUUUAAUCAAUCAGAUGUGUACUGAACUGUUGGAAAUUAAACUUGAAGUGUACUGCCAUUGUCAUCAAAUCCUUCUCCCAGCUAUAUUCAACAAGACACAAGGAGAAGAAAAGUGUACAAGUCAUAGACUGGGUGUCAGAUGUGAUGUGAAAUUAAGGGGUUUGCUGUGGUGAUACAAAUAAUUUAGGGUGCUGUCUGAGGGGGAAAGGUGGCAUUUUAUUUUUUUUCUUCAGUCUUUAAAGUUUCUUGAAGCAACUUCACUGUAAUAACUUCGAAUUCACAAAAUAAUGCUGCUUUUUUAAGUCAAGUGUAAGCCUUUUGUUUUUCUGUAAUAAAAAUAUUCAA
ensembl:lncRNA